AAUCAACGCUGGCGGCGUGCCUAACACAUGCAAGUCGAACGCGACUGGGGCUUCGGCCUCGAGUUGAGUGGCGAACGGGUGAGUAACACGUGGGUGACCUACCUUCGAAUGGGGGAUAACGUCCCGAAAGGGCGCUAAUACCGCAUAACAUCCUGCCUUUGAACAGGCGGAGAUUAAAGCCGGGGAUCGCAAGACCUGGGCGUUUGAAGAGGGGCCCGCGUCCGAUUAGCUAGUUGGUGAGGUAACGGCUC
rnacentral:rRNA from 1 species